rnacentral:rRNA from 1 species
UACGUAGGGUGCGAGCGUUGUCCGGAAUUAUUGGGCGUAAAGGGCUCGUAGGCGGUUUGUCGCGUCGGGAGUGAAAACGCCGUGCUUAACACGGCGCUUGCUUUCGAUACGGGCAGACUAGAGGUAUUCAGGGGAGAACGGAAUUCCUGGUGUAGCGGUGAAAUGCGCAGAUAUCAGGAGGAACACCAGUGGCGAAGGCGGUUGCCUGGGGCUUUGCUGACGCUGAUGCGCGAAAGCGUGGGGAGCGAUCCGG